rnacentral:lncRNA from 1 species
UGUGAUAAAAAAGAAGGUAUUUUCGAAUACCUCACUUAAGUUAGAAUGUUGGAAAUGAGGAUGAUGAUGAUGGGAUCAUAUUGGAGUUGGACUGAAUUUAGCUACCAAUCUUCUCGAACCUAAGACCAAGUUGUAAGGUGCUCCAAGCACCAUACCACCGUGUUCAUAAGAAGAUUGGUGAUACUGACAUACAUUUUUUUCAUUUCCCUUUUAUGCACAACUUAAGUUAGUGGAACUAAAAAUAAACUUGACAAUUUUUUUUUUUUUUUAAGCUUUCUACAACAUUAAAUAAAAUAAUAAUACAUGCGUACUUUUAUAUAUAACAUAUACAGUAUACUCGAUGGAUAUUGAACGCCGGCGACAUCUGGAGGAUCAUCACCACCCGUGGCUAGUGAAGCCAUAGGUGAUUUUUAGUGCUUCAAACUUCAAAAUUACGAAUUUACCGUUGUCGGUCAAAGAUGGCCGGUAGUUAAGCUCGGACGUUAGCUCUUCAGGCCACGUUUAUUCCGAUGAUGAUGGCGGUGUGCUUUCACGCGCAGCUGUGGCGUCGGAUCAAAGCUCAUGAGCCCGUGAGUCUCCAACAGCUGAUUGGCAGCGGGAAUUGCCAAUUUGGUGCCUAAGGUUGACUGAAAAUGAAGAGAGAAGCUUGAAGAACCAAACCCAGGUGGUGAAUGGCCGGAAAUUAGCGAAAUCAGGCGAAAAAGAUGCGGCUUUUGCCGCGGUUUCGCAAGCUCGAUCCGCGGUCUUCCAGUUGUUUUGCGGCGGCGUUUGCGGCAGGGGAACGACCGGCGUAGCUCUAGCUUCCGAUUGGUACGUCACUUGGUCGAUGAGGUGGCCGGAGAUGUGAGGUCCGUCCGGGUCGGGGUUACCGGGUCGGGUCUAUCACGGGUUUUGCCUAGAGGAAAUCUAUUACGGGUAUUCCCAUAGCACCAUCGAUUGAAAAGGUAUACAUUAAUAUUAAUAAACAAAAAUUGUUAUCCCAACAUUUGAAAUGUAUAACAGUUGAUGCUAAAAAUUACUAAAAUAAAAAGAUAAUACUUAUAUUAUAAAAAGAAAUUCUAAAAUAAAGAAAUGCAUAUUUGUUGAAAACCUAAACAAUGGUUAAAAUCUGAUAGUUCUUGUAACAAAAUACAAAUUUUAUUAUAAGUUUUGAAAUGAUAUAUUAUAUAUAUAAAAAAAAGGAUAAAUCAUUUGUCUAAUGGAACGACAAUUUCACUCUACGUAAUAAGAAAGAGAUUCCUAUAGUAGACAUAUUUGUGGUGUAUUAUUGACAAAACAAAAGGUAUUUUAGAAUACCUCAUUGAAGAGUAUCAAGGAACUUGUUAUAUUUUCAAAGGGGUGUUCCAAAAGCUACCAAUUUUCUCGAACCAAGGCCAAGCGGAAUGAUGAUUGAUGCCUCGAACAUCACACCGCCCGAUCCCGGCGAAUGCUGGUGAUUCGCGUGCGCGGCAUUUUUUAUUUAUUAUUUUCUCUUGAACGCACUCAAUGAAAAAUUAAACUCUCUCUAUCAAAUGAUGUAACGAUGCCAAGUAAAUUUAUGAUGAUAGGUGAAUUAAUAAGUUGUGAUACAAAAUUUAACAAAUGAGGGGUUUAUAUAGUAAAAUGUUUCUCGAGAAUAAUUUGGAAUGUAAUUUAUUUCGCAAAUAUAGCAUUCUGAAAUGUUAAGACUUUGGUAUUGAUCUUGUACCAUCUAAUUCUGAGAAAGAUAAUUUAUUAAUAUUUUUUCAAAUAUAGUGGCAUAAUUUAACUAAAGCAGAUUCUUAUUUUUAUUUUUGAAAAGGUAAGGUAUUUUGGAAUACCUUGUUUAAGGUGGAAAGGAGUAUUUUGAGAGGAAUUAUUUUGAAGGGUGCUCAAAAGCCAUACCAGUUCUCUCGAACACGCGACUAGGCGAGGUGGUUCCAUAAGCACCAGACCACCGAGUCACUGGAAAGAUUGGU